UGUGUAGUGUGUUAUGGAGAUUCCCUUCUCAGGUUUGCAGCUGGUCUUCAUCUUCAUAGCCUUCACUGUGUUCUGUGUGUUCAGCAUUGCUGCCGUCUACACAUACACCCAAACAAACAACCAAGAUGAAAAGAUGCACUCAGACCGGAACACAACUCAUCGCAAAAGCAGUUUAAAAUGGAAAACAAAAAGUGCUGUCAAGACUGUAAACCCAGAUCUUCCGUGAAGACACAUUGUACAAAGCAAAGGACCAGGUUCAGUACUUCUGACAGUGAGAAUUUCUCCUGAGAAAUUAUGGAUCUGCUAAAAAGGAAAAAAAAGAACAUGGUCAAGCUUCUAGAGAUGGAGAGCUUUCGCAGUGUCGAUUGUUUAUUUAAGUGCCUGUCUUCAUCAGUGGUUCCAGUGGGUAUUUAGAUAACUAUGUUAAGAAAAGAAACUAUGUUGGACUGGCGACCUGUCCAGGGUGUAUCCUGCCUUCCGCCCGAUGACCGCUGGGAUAGGCUCCAGCACCCCCCCGCGACCCUGAGGGAGAAGCAGCUUAGAAAAUGAAAUGGAUGUUAAGAAAAGUCUCAUGCUGCAUUGUGAAAGGACAGAAGAGAAAUAGUGGAUGCAAUAAUUACGUAGGCUUGAAAGAGUCAACGUACUGUUCUUCAUUUGUUUCUUCUUACAGUCAGAACUUUGCAAUGAUGCUUCUUCUACUUGCAAACUAGAAUCACAGAAAUACACUGCACAGCAAUGGCCUAGCAACACCACCUUCGCAACCACCUGGAAUACCAUAACCUCUUAGCCACUUCCUGGAAUACAUGUCUAAAUAAGAACUCUUUGCUGCUAGUUGAGGAUCUAAUUGAUCUUUCCAUGAUGGCUUGACUGAGUAUUAUUUGUUUGUUGAUUUUUGCUGGUUCCAACAUUUAAAUAUACCCUGAGGGCAGAUCAGAAUGUUAGCACUAUGGUAUGACUAUGGUAUGGUAUUUUGGUUUGCUCAUAUUCAGUCGACUUUAGGUGUUAAUUCUGAAGAAGUUCUAGAGAAGCAGUGAUAGAGAAUAACCUGACCAUCAUUUACUUCCGAAAGUUAGAAUGUAAAGUUGAACUGCAAUAUAAUAAUAUUUUAUAAUAUCUUAGGCUAUGUUACUUAACAAUUAAUAUCUAUAUUUUUGCAUUAUAUUUUACUAAGUAUAUAUAUUAAAAUGAAUGGUAAUGCACAUACUAUAAUCUACAACUGGAUUCUUCAAAGGUUCUUUAGAAAAGAAAUUGGUUCUAUAUGGAACCAUGAACACUCAAAGAACCCUUUGCAUGAUUAAAGGGUUCUUUGCAUCAUAAAAUAGUUUUUUAGACUAAUGGAGAAUGUUCUGUUCUAUAUGGAGUCAUUCUGAAAAGGGUUCUAUAUAACACCAAAAAUGGUUCUUCUGUUACUACAAUGUCACAAUAUAAGAACCCUUUGAGUGAUACAUAGAAACCUGUUCAUAAAGGUUCUAUAUAGUAAGUAAGUAAGUAAGUAAGUAAGCAAGCAAGCAAUAUAGAACCAUUAAUAGCACAUUUUCCAUCAGUCUGAA